rnacentral:tRNA from 1 species
AGAGAAUGAUAGUAUUUCAGUUACGUUGAAAGAGACCUUUAUUGGCAUUCUUU